GACGAACGCUGGCGGCGUGCUUAACACAUGCAAGUCGUACGGUAAGGCCCUUUCGGGGGUACCCGAGUGGCGAACGGGUGAGUAACACGUGAGUAACCUGCCCACAACUUUGGGAUAACGCUAGGAAACUGGUGCUACUACUGGAUAUGUGCUCCUGCUGCAUGGUGGGGGUUGGAAAGCUCCGGCGGUUGUGGAUGGACUCGCGGCCUAUCAGCUUGUUGGUGGGGUAGUGGCCUACCAAGGCGGCGACGGGUAGCCGGCCUGGGAGGGUGACCGGCCACAUUGGGACUGAGAGACGGCCCAGACGCCGACGGGAGGCAGCAGUGGGGAAUAUUGCACAAUGGGCGCAAGCCUGAUGCAGCAACGCCGCGUGCGGGAUGACGGCCUUCGGGUUGUAAACCGCUUUCAGCAGGGACGAAGCUUUUUGUGACGGUACCUGCAGAAGAAGCACCGGCUAACUACGUG
rnacentral:rRNA from 1 species